GAUAAUGUAGCGUAAUCAAUAGCCAAUUAAUUGUUGGCCGGUAUGAAUGGCAUCACGAAGGCCCCACUGUCUUAAGAGGACUCUCCAUGAAAUUGAAAUCGUAGUGAAGAUGCUACGUCCAUAUUGUAAGACGAAAAGACCCCAUUGAGCUUUACUAAAGACUUGUAUGGCUCGAAAUAACUUAAAUAAAAAGUUUAGAUAAUGUGGGAUCCGUUUUGGUUAAUGAAACACCACUCUUUUAUUUUAAGAGAGCUAACCUUGUAGGGAGAAUGCAAGUUGGAUAGUUUGGUUGGGGCGACCACCUUUUAAAAGGUAACGAAGGUGAGCUUAAGGUCCGUAGUUAAUAGCUAGUGGCCUGACUGCAAGGGGGACAUCCCGAGCAGACACUGGUAAUCUCUCAGUGGGUUAUAGUGACCCGUCAUCUUAGAGUGGAAUAGUUGACGAUCAACGAAUAAAA
rnacentral:rRNA from 1 species